UGGAUCACCUCCUAACAGGGAGACAACAAAAUGUUUAAUAUUAUUAUUUUGUCACCUUAGGUCGAUCGGUAUCUCACGUUUUUAAUUUAUUAAGAAUUUCAUUUCCUAAGUUUUUCUAGGUCACACCCAUUAUUUUUCCUGGGCCAUUAGCUCAGGUGGUUAGAGCGCACCCCUGAUAAGGGUGAGGUCCCUGGUUCAAGUCCAGGAUGGCCCAUAUCUCUAUGUUGGGGGUAUAGCUCAGUUGGUAGAGCGCCUGCUUUGCAAGCAGGAUGUCAGCGGUUCGAGUCCGCUUACCCCCACUGAUCACCACCUCUUCCAUAAUCGGUAGAAAGGAAAUUUUUUGAGUUGUGAUCAAAUUCUGAAAGAAUCUAGCUUCCUAAUGAAAUCAUUAAGAUGCUGGACUCAUUGAAUUAAUUUCUUUGUUUUCAGAGAACCUUGACAACUGCAUAGAUUAUUUUUAAAGACAAUAAGCAUCUUUAAUGAUGCAGAUUUAUUAUUUGUGCAAAUGCAUUAAUAACAAUUCUAUUAAGCUGAUGCUUCAAUAUUUGAAGUUAUUGGUCAAGCUACAAAGGGCUCACGGAGGAUACCUAGGCACACAGAGGCGAUGAAGG
rnacentral:tRNA from 1 species